rnacentral:tRNA from 1 species
GCGGGGGUGCCGGAGUGGCCAAACGGAACAGGCUCAGAACCUGUUGGCUUAGUGCCUGCGCGUGUUCGAACCACGUCCCCCGCA